AAGCCCAUACCUGGAGGCUGACCUCAUUUGUUGCAGCGCUGCAGCUCUGGACAAACGGACGUCACAUGACUGAGCCCCCUUCACUCCAUAUGGAACGAAACCCUCCCGCUACAGACCCUGCUGACCUUUAUUAUCACAGCAGCCAUUUUGAGCUUCGUGCUGGAGAGACCUACUUCUUCUAAACUUCCGCUGACCCCUUAAAAUCAGUUCCUACCUGCGACCCAGUCAGUGAAUUCCAGUGAGUGGUGAAGAGAUUUUCCCUCCUCAGAAUGUUUCAACUAAAUAUUUUUUGGAGGUGAAACAGAGGGUCGGGGACCCCUGCCUCCAUGUGACUUCAAUACAAAAGUGAGAAUAACAGAUGGACUUAACACUCUGUCCAGGCUCAAUCGCCGUUUUAAGAUCCACUACAGUAACCGAGGGACCUUGAAGUGAUGACAGAUAACUGAGCAGCGGGAUUCAGCAGUAUAACAUGAUAUUAUUUCUAACCCAUCCCCUGUGGUCUGACAUCCCAUCAGAGAUGACCUCAUCCCUACCUCAGCCCCAGUGUAUGAUGGGAUAGGGAGCAGUGCUCUGUGUCUGAUUGGAGGAUAAGUCACUGCUGAGACGUCCCCGUGACUCAUCCCAGCUGACAUUAUUCAAGAUGAAAGUCAGACUUGCUGCUUGUCAUGCUUUCGCUAAUGACUGGAGGAAAAGAGAAGGAAGAAGUUCAAAGAAAGGAAAGAAAAACCUCAUAUUAUUUAUGCUCUGAGCAGUUAAUGGAAUUACUGGGAAUGAAUUCAAUAUGUAAACUCAUGGUGCAAGAUGAGUGAACGUCAUGUGUCUGUAAUUUUGCAUAGAUCAUCUAUAAAACUACAUUAGGGUAUGGUAUUUGUUCCCCCUUAUGUGUUUUCUACAUGAAAAGUUUGUUUUCAAAACUGAGU